rnacentral:rRNA from 1 species
UUAGGAAUCUUCCACAAUGGGCGAAAGCCUGAUGGAGCGACGCCACGUGAGGGAUGAAGGCCUUAGGGUUGUAAACCUCUAAAAGAGGGACGAUAAUGACGGUACCUCUUGAAUAGCACCGGCUAACUCCGUGCCAGCAGCCGCGGUAAUACGGAGGGUGCAAGCGUUAUCCGGAAUCACUGGGCGUAAAGGGCGCGUAGGCGGUCUGUUAAGUCCGAUGUUAAAUCCCGGGGCUCAACCCCGGAUAAGCGUUGGAUACUGGCAGGCUAGACGGUUGGAGAGGCGAGUGGAAUUACCAGUGUAGCGGUGGAAUGCGUAGAUACUGGUAGGAACACCCAUUGCGAAGGCAGCUCGCUGGACAACACGUGACGCUGAGGCGCGAAAGUGUGGGGAGCAAACC